rnacentral:tRNA from 1 species
GCCGGGUUACCCAAGCGGUCAACGGGGGCUGACUGUAAAUCAGCUGACAUACGUCUUCGGGAGUUCGAAUCUCUCACCCGGCACCA